GGCCCUGGGCGGUGCAAUCGCAACUUGUGCGUCACUACGCCGCCAGCUGAUCGGAGACUGGAGCCGGUGUGUGCUGGGCGCUGGGAAGAGAGCGCCGCCGGCCGUGGGGCACGGACGCACUGAUUUGCUCCCCUGUCCUCAGCACCCCCCGCACACACCCAGCACCAGGAGCCUGUACCUCCCACACCCUCACCUGGCUGAGCCGCAGUAGUUCUUCAGUGGCAAGCUUUAUGUCCUGACCCAGCUAAAGCUGCCAGUUGAAGAACUGUUGCCCUCUGCCGCUGGCUUCAAGGAGGAGGAGAAGGAGCUGCUUUCCCGCUCAUCUGGAAGGUGACAGAACUGGGUCUGGGAAGGUCUGAACAGCAGGAGUGAUGAUGGUGAGGUCCAGAAGUCAGCUUGCCUCUUCCUGCCAUCUCAGUAGUCAUACCUCUGCUCUUAACCUUUCCCUGCAUUUCCUUAGACUGGCCCGGACUCUAGAUUCAGGGUUACUUACCUAUAUGUGGCACCCUUAGACAUCCGGUCUCAGCUUCUCCACCUACCUGUGGUAUGGAGAAAUCACCCAGCUGAGUGUGCCUGAGGGAAUCGGAAGCCCAUUUGUGCAGACUCAGCUUGGGGUGGGAACAGAACAGCUUUUCACUUAAGCUGUUGCCCCUCCCCCCUCCCUGACAAUAACCCCAGGGAUAGGGGGUUGGAGGGUUAAAGGGGCUCAGUCUCUACAUUGACUUCUCAUCAUGCAAGGGUGGCCCCAGGCAUCCUCUGCCACCCGUUAUAAGACUGCGGCCCCUGAUGGCUACCACUGCUCUUCUUCCUCACUUUGCUUUCCAGGAUGGUGUGUGAAACUCAACUCAGGCCUGUGCAGGCAGAAAAAUUCUCCCCUCCAGCAACCAGCAGAGCUGAGUUCUGGGACUCAACCCCCCUUUGGGGCAUCAGGCAGUGUAAACCUGCCAUCCCCAGCUCCUGAUCCAAUCUCACUCUUGGCUCAGGCUCUGGUGUGGUUCAGCCUUGGCCUAGAAUCCCUGCCUGAAGGUGGCUGCCUUCAGGGGCUGCAGGAAGCUGUUUGUUCUAUUUUGGGGGGAAGAGGCGCUGGGUCCUAUUACCCAUUUAUGAGAAACUCAAAGAUUUAGGGGAGAGUAGACCAUUGAACGCAGCUCUUCACAGCUUAAGCCGGAUGUGUGUGGGACUGUGGUAGAAGGGGGUGGGUAGACUGAGUCCACUCAACAAAGAUCACCCUGUCCCUGGACAUUGCUUCCAUCCUUUCUUCCCCUCCUCGCUUCACUGGCCACAGUGUCUCCUUCCAGCCUGGGUGUGUGGCUCUGCCACCCUCACCUAUCACGGAGCAGAGAUGAGGAGGAGCAUCCUGGGAACACAGAGGCAGGCGAAGAACGGUGAAGGACAAAGCCUGGAGAGCACAGGACCUGUCUGGGCACCUUGCAGAGGGGGGGCAUAAAGGCCAGGAGCACCCCAGGAAGAGGGAGGACAGCCAGCCUCCAGCAAGGACAAGCUUCCAGGCAUCUUCAAUCCUUCCACCUCUCUCCCACCUUGGGAGAUAAUUUACAUAGAAGCAGCUUCAAGGAACAAGAGCCAGCUGUGAAAGGACAUACACAGGAAAUUCAUAAAAGAAAUGCAAAUGGAUAAAACCAUGACAACAAAUGUGUACUUCAUUAGUAAUUAAAGAGAGGCAAAUACAGCUGUAA